rnacentral:rRNA from 1 species
CCCUUAGAUGUUCUGGGCCACACGCGCGCUACACUGAUGCAUUCAACGAGUCUAAAACCUGGUCUGAGAGGGCUGGGUAAUCUUUUGAAAGUGCAUCGUGAUUGGGAUAGAUGAUUGCAAUUCUUCAUCUUCAACGAGGAAUGCCUAGUAAACGCAAGUCAUCAGCUUGCAUUGAUUACGUCCCUGCCCUUUGUACACACCGCCCGUCGCUCCUACCGAUUGAACGAUCCGAUGAAAACUGUGGAUUGAGAGUCUGAGUGGGUUCGCCUACCUCAACUUUCGAGAAGCGGUUUAAAUCUUAUCGUUUAGAGGAAGGAGAAGUCGUAACA